CCACCAUCUUGCCGGAGAGCAGAUUUUUAGGAGUUACCUUUCCUUCUGAUCUAAUGUCUCGCAUUAAAAAGGGCUACUCUAAAGAUCCAGUCUUUCGUGAUCCCCCUCGUGAUCUUCAUAUGACCAUGCUUAAUGGGUUUUGGAUUUUUCAACAACGUCUGUUUGUUCCAGAAUCAGUGCGACUGGACGUUUUACGCCUCUACCAUGAC